rnacentral:rRNA from 1 species
GGGGGGGGGGGGGGGGGGGCGGGGGGCGGGCGGGGCGAGCGGGGGUGGCGGGCGGGGGUGGUGGGGUGGAGGCCUGUCAUUCUUAGUGGCGGAGGGGGGAGUAACGCGUGGGCCACCGGCGCUGUGCAGGGGGAUAGCAGCUGGAAACGGCUGGUAAGACCGCAUGAGUCGGUUAAAUCGCAUGAGUUGCUCGGGCAAUGGUGCAGCCGGUAUAGGAUGGGCCCGCGCCCGAUUCGCCAGGUGGCAGGGUAACAGCCUGACAAAGCGGAGAUCGGUCGCCGGACUGAGAGGGCGGACGGCCACAGUGGGACUGAGACGCGGCCGAAACUCCUACGGGAGGCAGCAGGGGGGGAUAUUGCACAAUGGAGGAAACUCUGAUGCAGCGGCGCCGCGGGAGUGGAGAAGUAUUUCGGUAUGUAAAGCUCUAUCAGCAGGGAAGAUGAUGACGGUACCUGACUAAGAAGCCCCGGCUAACUACGUG